rnacentral:rRNA from 2 species
UACGUAGGCAGCAAGCGUUGUUCGGAAUUACUGGGCGUAAAGAGUGUGUAGGCGGUGUCGUAAGUUUGGCGUGAAAUCUCCCGGCUUAACUGGGAGGGUGCGCCGAAGACUGCGAUGCUUGAGGAUCGGAGAGGAAAGUGGAAUUUCUGGUGUAGCGGUGAAAUGCGUAGAUAUCAGAAGGAACACCUGUGGUGUAGACGGCUUUCUGGACGAUUCCUGACGCUGAGACACGAAAGCGUGGGUAGCAAACAGG